GUGUGAGGCGGAGGAAGGUGGGAAUGACUUCCAGUCCUCAUGGCCUUUAUGACUAAGGCUGCACACGUCCUACAAUGCGGCGUACAAAGGGAAGCAAACCCGCAAGGGGGAGCAAAACUCAAAAAGCGUCGCUCAGUUCGGAUUGCAGGCUGCAACUCCCCUGCAUGAAGCUGGAAUCGCUAGUAAUCGCGGGUCAGCAUACCGGGGUGAAUGUGUUCCUGAGCCUUGUACACACCGCCCGU
rnacentral:rRNA from 1 species